ACGGCAACCUGCAGUAUUACCUGU
rnacentral:piRNA from 1 species